GUGAUUUUCAUAGUCUAAGGCGGUUCCUGGGCGCUGGGGGGAUUGGCAAGUGGAAGGGUUGAGGUGAAAUAGUCCUGCUGCUGCGGCUUGGGAGAAAAACUUUGCCAGCCCUAACCCUGAUGGGCCUUUUAAGUCACUGGACUACCAGCGGGCAAGAGGAACGUCUGUGGUGGGCAGAGGUGUCUGCUUGUUGGUUCAGGUGAGCUCGUCCCUCCGUGCCCUGGACUGGUGGGCGGCUGGUGGUGCCUUCUCAGUGCAGGCUCUGGGAGAGGAGAGCCAUGGCUGUGGCACGGCCACGCUGGUCACAUCCCUUCAUCGCUGCAGCUGGGACUUGGUUCUUUGCUUAAAGGUUUACUUUUGUGUGUAGGCUGAGAUUUGAAUUCCUUUCCAAACUGGAAAAAUAAACCCCAGUACACACAUCCAGAGCCAUUUCUCAUAUGCGGCUGUUCUCCUUAGGUGUUUGGAGCUUGUUUUCAGAGUGUGAUGAUGAGAUGCCUGUGCUAGUGCUGCUCUGGAACAUGCCUUUGAGAACUCCAUUUUUGUCUUCAGUUUGUGGCUGUUUCACACCCAGAUACCAUCUCUGGAUUUCUUGCUCUGUAACAGUUGCUUUCCAGUGCAAAGGGUUGAAAGCGAGAGAGGUCCCCUCCUUCCUCCAGUGCUGGGACCCCUUUCCCUCCAGCCAGCCAGGCUGCCCAGCACCUUCCCAACAGCAGUGUGGCCUGGGGGACAACGAGGUGUUUCAGCGUUGCCAUCACAGAGCCUCCUGAGCAUCUGUCAUCGCAGGAACGGGAGCCUGAUGCGAACUCUGCGCCCGCUGGAGGAGGACUUGCAGCCACCGGGGCAGAAAGCUUAAAUAUCCUCCGUGAUGGGAGACUUUCGUACCCAACUCUGCUGUGGGUGUUUUCCGGAGUGGAAGGAGCACAUCUCCAUGACGCUGCUCUGCUGCCCGUCUCCGCACACCCAAGAGAAGCGGUAGGCUUGGAUCAAGUUGUCUCCUAUGCACACCCAGCCGGGAGUCAUUCACAUCACGGAGGCGGCGAUGGGUGCCCAAGGCACCAUCAAAACCUGUUCCUUCCAUGUGCCUGUUCUGCAGUGGAUUUGGCUCUGUCCUUCAAACCCGAUUCAAUGGAACGCUUUGAGAUCCUCCUGCUGCCUGGGGGGUGUGAGGAGUGGUCGUGGCAGUUGGGAACUGGUAUGACAUCUGGGAACUGGUAUGACAUCAGGGCCUGGAGUGUGGUGAUGUCAUCUGCUCCAUGCGCUGGGGCUGCUCCUGGUGCUGAGGCAUCUGUUUCCAUGAUGGGCUGGAAGUCAUUGCUCUGCUGAUAGGAUGAAGGUCCUGUCCCCACUUAUUCUUUCCCGGGUAACGCCUUGG